rnacentral:tRNA from 1 species
GAAUUGGCGGUUCAGUGGUAGAAUGCUCGCCUGCCAAGCGGACGACCCGGGUUCGAUUGCCGACCAAGGCA